GACGAACGCUGGCGGCGUGCUUAUCACAUGCAAGUCGAACGGAAAGGCCCUGCUUUUGUGGGGUGCUCGAGUGGCGAACGGGUGAGUAACACGUGAGUAACCUGCCCUUGACUUUGGGAUAACUUCAGGAAACUGGGGCUAAUACCGGAUAGGAGCUCCUGCUGCAUGGUGGGGGUUGGAAAGUUUCGGCGGUUGGGGAUGGACUCGCGGCUUAUCAGCUUGUUGGUGGGGUAGUGGCUUACCAAGGCUUUGACGGGUAGCCGGCCUGAGAGGGUGACCGGCCACAUUGGGACUGAGAUACGGCCCAGACUCCUACGGGAGGCAGCAGUAGGGAAUAUUGCACAAUGGGCGGAAGCCUGAUGCAGCAACGCCGCGUGCGGGAUGACGGCCUUCGGGUUGUAAACCGCUUUCGCCUGUGACGAAGCGUGAGUGACGGUAAUGGGUAAAGAAGCACCGGCUAACUACGUG
rnacentral:rRNA from 1 species